rnacentral:rRNA from 13 species
GUGGAGUCGUUGUUGAAAUACCACUCUGGUCACUCUGGAUAUCUAACUUCGGCCCGUGAUCCGGGUCAGGGACAGUGCCUGAUGGGUAGUUUAACUGGGGCGGUUGCCUCCUAAAGAGUAACGGAGGCGCGCGAUGGUAAGCUCAAGGCGGUCGGACAUCGCCUGUUGAGUGCAAUGGCAUAAGCUUGCCUGACUGUGAGGUCGACGGACCGAGCAGAGACGAAAGUCGGUCAUAGUGAUCCGGUGGUCCCGAA